rnacentral:piRNA from 1 species
UAGAUCUACACUGGCUCUUAAUAUGACC